rnacentral:tRNA from 1 species
GAUGGGGUGGCUGAUGAUAGGCAAUAAAUUGUAAAUUUAUUCAUGGUUGUAUAAACCCUCCAUUA